AAUAGUUGCAUGCUGUAGACCCGAAACCGUGUGAUCUAUCCAUGAGCAGGUUGAAGCCUGGGUAAAACCAGGUGGAGGACCGAACCAGUGUCUGUUGAAAAAGGCUUGGAUGACUUGUGGAUAGGGGUGAAAUUCCAAUCGAACACGGAGAUAGCUGGUUCUCCCCGAAAUAGCUUUAGGGCUAGCGUUUUGCGAAGACUACCGGAGGUAGAGCACUGAAUUGGGUAGGGGGCUAAAAGUCUACCGAACCAUAUCAAACUCCGAAUGCCGGCUAGUCAUGCAAGGCAGUCAGACUGUGUGAGAUAAGUCUCAUAGUCGAAAGGGAAACAGCCCAGACCAUCCGCUAAGGUCCCCAAGUACUGAUUAAGUGGGAAAGGAUGUGUCACUGCACAAACAACCAGGAUGUUGGCUUAGAAGCAGCCAUACAUUUAAAGAGUGCGUAAUAGCUCACUGGUCGAGUGGUGGUGCGCCGAAAAUGAACGGGGCUCAAAUCAGGCACCGAAGCGAUGGAUUAUGGUAACUACCAUAGUGGUAGGGGAGCAAUCCCUGUGGAGCGAAGCUGCAUUGUAAGGUGUGGUGGACUGCAGGGAAGAGAGAAUGUUGGCAUGAGUAGCGAAAGUGAAGUGAGAAUCUUCACCAUCGAAAGCCCAAGGUUUCCUGAGGAAGGCUCGUCCGCUCAGGGUAAGUCGGGGCCUAAGCCGAGGCCGGAAGGCGUAGGCGAUGGACAACUGGUUGAAAUUCCAGUACUAGCGUGAUGCGCUAUAAGAGAAGGAGUGACACAGAAGGGCAAGCGAACCCGGGCGAUGGUAGACCCGGGCCAAGCAGUGAGGCUGAUCGAGGAGGCAAAUCCCCUUGGUCAUAAGGCUGGGCUGUGAUGGGGAACGAAAAACAAGUAGGGAAGUCGCCGCACUCACACUGUCAAGAAAAGCUUCUAUCAAGUAUCAUGCUACCCGUACCGUAAACCGACACAGGUAGGCGAGGAGAGAAUCCUAAGAUGAGCGGGAGAAGUGUUGUUAAGGAACUCGGCAAAAUGACUCCGUAACUUCGGGAGAAGGAGUGCCUCG
rnacentral:rRNA from 1 species